rnacentral:lncRNA from 1 species
UGAACCCUAAUCCCGUUUGCCUGGUGUCCUUAUAGAAAGGGGAUGUACGGACACAGACACCUACAAAGGGAAGACUAUGGGAAGACAGAGACAGAAGACCACCUCCAAGCCAAGGAGUUCUGGGGGCUUCUAGAAUCCAGGAGCGAGACCUAGGUCAGAUCCUCCCUGACAGCCUUCACAGGAUGUGUGCUGCUGCGUGGAAGAUGACUGAGCAUGAGACACGCAGUCCCCGACCGCGUGGAG